AAGUCGUAACAAGGUUUCCGUAGGUGAACCUGCGGAAGGAUCAUUAAUGAGUUUGAAUGGGUUGUAGCUGGCCUUUCGAGGCAUGUGCACGCCUUUCUCAAUCCAACCAACACCUGUGAACCUAUGGAGAAGAUGAAGAGCGACGCUGGAUAACGGCUGAUCUCUGAUUCCUCUCUUUUUUUACACCAAACUAAAGUUAUAGAACGUCCUUUGCUUGAUGCAAAACAAAUACAACUUUCAACAACGGAUCUCUUGGCUCUC
rnacentral:misc_RNA from 1 species